UCGGAGGCGAGGCGCGGUGGCCGGCGGGCGCAGGUGGAGCGCGUCUCCGUGCGGGGCGCGCCGUGACCCCGUAGUGACCGGCGCAGACACACGGGCGCGGCUGUGAGCAUUCUGCGUUUUUAUUUCCCAGCGGGGCGCCCUCCUUCCCCGGGGGAGCCGACAGCGGAAACGGGAGGUACGGGUUCCGGCCGGGAGCCCGGGGAAGCGGAGGAGGGGCCGUCCUGCUUCACUUGUCGCGGCCGAACAUGUAACGGAGGAGGUCCACCACCCGGUGACUGUAGCCGUAUUCGUUGUCGUACCUGGGGAGGGAGGUGGCGGGUCAGGGGAGUCCCUCCCGACCGCUCCUGGCCCGCCCCCCACGCCCCCGGGCCCCUCCCCCCUCACCAGGAAAUGAGCUUCACGAAGUUGUCGUUGAGCGCGAUGCCAGCUUUAGCAUCGAAGAUGGACGAGUGGGUAUCGCCCACAAAGUCCGUGGACACGACCUGGGCAUCGGAAUUUCAAAGAUAAGCGUGGGUCGCGGAGCAAGGUCCUCCAGGAGCCCAGGCCCCGACUCUUAGGCACAUGGGCACAUCCCUUCAUCUACGAUAUCUGGUGGAGCCCUGCUUGUGUCCAGGUUCUGGGGACCGUGUGAGGAAGGCACGCGGGGGCUUCGCCUGCGGCCAAAGGACGGAGACCGCAGACACCCUGACGCUGCACCAGUACAUGCUGGCAAUGACGCCAGUCUUCAUCAUGAUGGUGGGCCGCAUAGAGGCCCUCUCGGAGGGCACACGGUGAGGCUGGGUCUGGAUGUCUAGGAGGAUCUGGUCACCUCGGGCCCUCCGCAGUGCCUGACGCGGAAGGAGCUACAGCAUAGAGGCCCUGAGGGAUUGGCCUUAGUGGUGUAUAAGGCCACAGGGGAGGGUUUUCAGGAGUGGGACAAUGUGAUCUGCUUUCCGUAAAACAAGAGGUCCUGGUGGCUGUGUGAGAGCGGAGCUGCAGGAGCUAAAGCAGAGACAGCACCAGAGGAUGGCACGACUGGGAGCAAAGGCAUGGUGGGGGAGCCAUUGUCUUGUUCACUAAGCUUGUAUUGAGCACCUGCUGGGGUGCCAGGCCCCGGGACAAUCAAUGGCUGGAGCCACUGAGUCCCAAAGCCCCUGCUUUCUUGUGGUGUACAUGGUAGCAGGGCCAACAGGGACUAUGGAAUGAAAUUUCAGGUAAGGGAAAGGGCCAGAAAGAGAAUAUCUUACUGAAGACAGAAACUGAAGUAGGGACUUGGAGGAGGUGAGGGCAGAUUAUGUGGCCACCUGGAAGAAAAGCUACCCAGACCAGAGCAACAGCAAGUGCAAAGACCCUGAGGCAGGAAGAGCAGACCUUCCCAGCCCUGCAGUCCCUGUCUUGAUACAUGGUGAGCGGCUCUUUGGCCUGAGGUGGUGACCCAGGUGUGGAGGCUGGUGGGACCACCACAGACCACAGGAGGGCCAUGUGCAGGCCAGGGUCCAGCCCUGUCUGCAAGUUGCCCGGUGUUUUAAGAGACUUCACCAUUUGGCUCGUCCUCCCGAAACCGUCUCUCCUUGUUCACCCCACACACUAAGCAAGUCUAGGAAGGAGAGGUAGAGUUUCCCUGCCACCCCUCCUGCCUCAACUCUCCGCUCUCUCCAACUCACCAUCAGCCCUUCCACGAUCCCAAACUGCUCAUGGAUGACCUUGGCAAGGGGCGCCAGGCAGUUGGUGGUGCAGGAGGCAUUGCUGAAACGGCGCGGGUGUGCGAGGGCCCUGUGAGGCCACUUUUCUCCUCUUGGCUCGACCGCCCCUGUUGUGCCUUCCUGACUCAGGACUCUGCCCCCGCAGUGGGACCAUCCCUGACUGCUCCCAGCCCAGGUCGGGCCCAUUCUACCUAUGCUGCUCAGAAUGCACCCCAGGAAGGUGAGGCCUGUCCCGCUGCUUCUGGUCCCUGCCCUGGCAACCUCCCCACUGUCCUUGCCCCUCCUUACCACGCGGCUCCUGCACCAAGGGCCUGCUGCCGGAGCCUGGGCAGCUCCCCGAAGACACACUGCAGCCCCGGGAGCAGCUCCCGGGGGGGAGGACUGAAGCCUGAGGCAGCCCCCGGGCCAGCAAUGGAUAGUGGUUUACAUUGGAAAGGGAAAGGAGGGCCGCCUGGGUGGCCAAC